GCCAGGGGUACUGGCACACACCUGUAACAGUUCCAGUUACUUAGGAGGCUAAGGCAGGAGGAUUGCAUGAGCCUAGGAGUUCAGGGCUACAGUGUGCUAUGACCAUGACUGUAAAUAGCUACUGUACUCCAGCCUGGGCAACAUAGCAAGACCCUGCCUCUA
ensembl:misc_RNA Metazoa_SRP Metazoan signal recognition particle RNA